rnacentral:rRNA from 1 species
GUGGGGAAUAUUGGACAAUGGGCGAAAGCCUGAUCCAGCCAUGCCGCGUGUGUGAAGAAGGUCUUCGGAUUGUAAAGCACUUUAAGUUGGGAGGAAGGGUAGUAACCUAAUACGUUGCUACUUUGACGUUACCGACAGAAUAAGCACCGGCUAACUUCGUGCCAGCAGCCGCGGUAAUACGAAGGGUGCAAGCGUUAAUCGGAAUUACUGGGCGUAAAGCGCGCGUAGGUGGUUCAGUAAGUUGGAAGUGAAAUCCCCGGUCUCAACCUGGGAACUGCUUUCAAAACUGCUUAGCUAGAGUACGGUAGAGAGUGGUGGAAUUUCCUGUGUAGCGGUGAAAUGCGUAGAUAUAGGAAGGAACACCAGUGGCGAAGGCGACCACCUGGACUGAUACUGACACUGAGGUGCGAAAGCGUGGGGAGCAAACAGGAUUAGAUACCCGGGUAGUCC